GUAAACAUAAACUUACACAAACAAUAAUUGCAAACGACGCAAAAAACAUGGCAUGUCUCAUCGCUGCCGCAUCAGCCGCAUGCACGGGUGUCACCUGGUGCUUCUGCAC
rnacentral:sRNA from 16 species